AACGAACGCUGGCGGCAGGCUUAACACAUGCAAGUCGAACGCCUGUAGCAAUACAGGAGUGGCAGACGGGUGAGUAACACGUGGGAACGUGCCCAAAGGUACGGAACAACUCCGGGAAACUGGAGCUAAUACCGUAUGUGCCCGGAAGGGGAAAGAUUUAUCGUCUUUGGAUCGGCCCGCGUCUGAUUAGCUAGUUGGUGGGGUAAUGGCCUACCAAGGCGACGAUCAGUAGCCGGUCUGAGAGGAUGGCCAGCCACACUGGGACUGAGACACGGCCCAGACUCCUACGGGAGGCAGCAGUGGGGAAUAUUGUACAAUGGGCGCAAGCCUGAUCCAGCCAUGCCGCGUGAGCGAUGAAGGCCUUAGGGUUGUAAAGCUCUUUCGCCAGGGACGAUAAUGACGGUACCUGGAUAAGAAGCCCCGGCUAACUUCGUGCCAGCCGCCGCAGUAA
rnacentral:rRNA from 1 species